rnacentral:ncRNA from 1 species
AUAAAGGCUAUGAAGGAGGCAAGUAGGCUAAUACCCUGCACAGGGAGGAUGGGCCGGAGAUUGAGAGCCUGUCUGCAGAAGGGUUAGUUGAAGUUUCCCUCUGGAGCUUUCUGCCUGAAAUUAAAGUAGGGCAGAACGGGAUGACCGUUAUUCAAAUGAGUGGGCCUUAGGCCAAUUAGGGUGGUACCGCGAAGUUUACCCUUCGUCCCUUAU